GUUUGUCUUGAUCUUUCGGGUUUUGUUUUGGCUUGCACAACAACGUUGAAAAUAUAUUUUUAAACGACGAUUUCUGUAUAUAUUCUGUUCAGAACUGUUGCUUUCGUAAAAAAGCCCACUAGAAUGGGUUUUUAGACACUUUUUCUUCUUUGUAAAACUUUUUUCCAUUUUAAAUCUCGAUAUAAAAUUUUUGCAAACUUGCAAAGUUUGCACUCCGCGAAAUCCCCCGCCUCAGGAGUCUGGGACCAACCAAAAUGCCCUUAUAAAUCCGCCAUUUUGUGGAGACAAAUUUUUCACUGAGAAAAGAUAGGAGUACGCAUUCUAUAUCUAUUAUUUCUAUGGGAUGAACACAGUUAAGAAUUGUUGUAAUGAUAAAAUAGUCUGAUAAAAUAGUCUAAAUAUCACAAUUGUUGUAAUGAUAAAAUAGUCUAGGCUAAGUAUGGUAAGCGCAUUACUUCAUGCAAAGCGCAUUUGAUCUUAUCCACAUGUAAAUUUAUUUAUUUAUUUAGCUUUGCCAACUAGGGCAGGGUCACCACAACAGCAUAUGCCAAUUACUGUGGGCCCUUUUUUUUUACCUAACCCACCCUGUCAACUUUCCCUGUGGGAGGAAACCGGAGUACCCGGGGAAAACCCACGGCUUUCGGCAGAGCGUUGACUUUUACUCUUUUCACAUGGGGACUGGGUUCGAGUCGCAUUGAGAAGGUACUUAGGGACCGGUCAUUUAUUAGAGAAGGGGGGGGUGGGCUGGUGGAUUUUCAUUUUCCUCAACAUAAUUUCAUAUGGCCCUGCUCCUGUCACUGCAUAAAAUAAUGUGCCCCCCCCCCCAAGGGAGUGCACAUGAAAUGGCAUGGCCCACCCUCAGUUUAUAAUUUUUUUUCCGGAACAAUAAAUUUUGGCGACCUCCCCCCCUCCCCCUCUCGCCAAAAAAAUUUCGGUCAGUGUACCAUUUUAGGGGUCCAAAAAUUUUUCGGACACACCUAAAUUUUUCGGAACAUCAAAUAAAUUUUCCCAAACAUUGCAAAAUUUACAUUAUUUCCCGCAAAAUUCGCAGAAUUUAUCCCAUUUAUUUUUAUAAUAACCCAAUAUUGCACGACUGUGAAGAGAAUAUUGCUCAACUAGCUUGGUUUGCCCCACUUUUGCCCCACUUUUGUUGAACAUUUGCCCGACUUUUCGACUUUGUAAUCCCGUACGCCUAUGCUUGUAGUUGUCACUACAUUGUUUUGUUUUCAUAUAAAUAUUAAAAAUUUGACUGUGGUUGAUCCCUUCAGUGCUGUUUUCUUUUGUAGAAUAUAUAGGAAAAUGGAAUGCACAAAAAUGUAUGACCCCAAAAAUGGUUGCAGAAUUUUAUGCAACCCCCCAUUUUCAAGUGCACAAAAAGGUAUGACCCCCUCCCCAUUUGCACCAUAAUUAAUAAUUAAUAGAAAUAAUUAAUUUAUUACUUCGAAAUUUGAAUCAUUAAUUCCCGAAUAUAAUAUGAAAUUCAUAUCAUAGUCCAGUAUACGUCUUUACGAGCUCAGUUUUGAAUAAAUAUAUGCUUUAUCUAGAGCAGCGGUAAAACGCAAGAAUCUCGCAGAAUCGGGUGGUCGCGUCGGGAGGUCAUUUGGACUUAUCUCGACUGAUCUGUGGGGUGGCCGGACUGAUUUGCACUUUAAUGGAGUCUUUUUCAGGCCAUUUCUUUCCUUUGAUUGGUCAAUUUGAAAAUAUUGUGGGGUGGUCGGACUGAUUUGCAACUUAAGGGAGUUUUUAUGGGGUGGUCCGACUAAUUUGCACUUUAAGGGAGUUUUUAUCAGUCCAUUUCUUUCAUUUUGAUUGGUCAAUUUGAAAUUAUUGACAAUUCCUAUUGGUUCAUUUUGGACUGAUUUGGACUUAUUCGCGGCUGGGGAUAUCAGUCCUUGAAAAUUGCGAAAUUCAUGCAAAGCAGUCUUUCAUAUUCCCGUAUAUGAAGGUUUUUCAUAGUUGGGAGAAUUAUUUUACGAUGUCGAGUAUUUAUAUGUACGCGGCCGAUUUUAUGAGACGAUUUAACGGCCUUUAAUAAACUUGAAUUGUCUCUGAAUGAGGAUUAUUGUGGGGCAGCUAAGCUAGAUAUCAAGUGAGCAGCUUUUAUAAAUGUUGUUCUGUUCAACAACGAGAAGGCACUAAGUUGGGACUUCUCUGCUACGUGCUUCACAAAGAUCAUGGUCGUAAUUUGGGUGGUAAAGCCAAAGGGAAAGUGUGCACUGCUAUAAUGUAUGAAAAUAUCCAAAAUUAUGAAACAGAAAUUAAUAUAUUGCAAUGUAUCUUGUAGGAUAAAUACGAAGUUGAAAUAUAACACGCUUUA
rnacentral:lncRNA from 1 species